UCUGAUUCCUUUGUUCAAGCUACUCUUCCUUAUAAUAGGAGGGCACAGUUGCGAGUCCAUUCUGUCCUCCCGAGAUGGGUCAUCUAUCCUCUUCACCCUAUGGGUUUGCAUCCACAUCCAAGUCACCGCCGUGGCUCUCAAAAAGGGAUCAUUUUGACAAUUAUUUGCUGUCAUCUGAUGAAGAGGAGGCCAUUUCUCAAGGAAUCAAUGCCUCACUGGAGUUGCAAGUAACAUUUUUUUUAUUAUUUUAUUUAUUGGUAUGCUAUUUUUAUAAUAUUUUUCUAAUUUCACUAUUAUUACUUAUAACUUAUUUCCCAGAGUAAAUAAUGAUUAUAACUUUAUAAUUCUGCAUUGCCAAAAUGUCAGGAUCUCACUUUCUAAAUCCCAGGAUAGUACUUGGUAAAUACACAUUUCUUACAAAACCAAAUUAUUUGUAAUAAGUUAUCUAAUGUGAUUGUUUUACGUGUAUAAUUACAGAGACCCAGAGUGGGGACUGCUCUCUGAAACGUAGAAGAGUAUCCAUUCACACCUACAGCCCCAGGCAGUGUGCAAAUAAAUGCUGGACCAGUUUUACAGAGGGCGUGGCAGACUGAUCACCUCAAUGCUCACAGCUGGAGACAGUGAUAAACAGAUAGCGAGAUAAGAAGAAAAUGACUGAUCAAUAAAUCUGACUGAUAAAUUAUUUGAAAAUAAACUGAAGUACAAUCUCGUAAAUGAGUGAUUUUGUUGCAAACUUAACACAAGAGCAAAUGGAAUUGAGAUGUAAAAUUUGUGUUUUGCAAAACCUUGUUUUCUUUCUUUGUCCACAAUAAUAAUGAUUCCAACACAGCAGACUUGCAUUUUUCUGUGAGCUUUUCAUCAUGGAGUUCAUUUUUCUUAAGUUUUUUUCUUUCAUGUCCUUCAUAAACAAAUCCAUUACUCCGACUUGUUUAAAAAUGAUCUAAAAGAAUCCCCUUCGAAGUGGGUCACAUGUCUGCUGCUGCGCUCUGCAAGCCAUGUCAUGUGCUUCUGGGGGAAGCCAAUCCAUGCAACAGGAAUUAUAAACAAUGAUUUUUAGUGUCAAAGAGAGCCUCUUUAAUAGUAAUCAAUAGUUUGUGUAUUACUGAGUAAACAAAAUCUGACCCGACCCGAAUAUUGCGUGACAAUUUUGCACCCGGUACGGGUCGGGCCUUGGGUCCGGGUAGACCCGUGAAGACCGUUCUGAUUUAGUUUGAAUUGUUUUUUUUCUGGAAAUUGUGAUAACACAAACAAGAAGGGUAAUACAAUGUUACAAAAAAUGUUACCAAACAUUGUUGUUUCAUUUUAUUGAUAUUGUUACUGUAAAUAGGUUCAUCCCUGUGAGGGAGAGCGAAUAAAUCCAAAUCAACAAUCUCCCUCUCGACCAGUGAGGGCACUGUACAACAGGAAUUGCAGGCUUCCUACUGAAUGG